rnacentral:rRNA from 1 species
GCUCCUUGGACUUCGGUUCAGGGAGGAAAGCAAUACCGUGGGUAUAGCGCUCUUGGAUGGGCUCAUGUCCUAUCAGCUUGUUGGUGAGGUAACGGCUCACCAAGGCUUCGACGGGUAGCUGGUCUGAGAGGACGAUCAGCCACACUGGCACUGCGACACGGGCCAGACUCCUACGGGAGGCAGCAGUAAGGAAUAUUGCGCAAUGGGCGAAAGCCUGACGCAGCGACGCCGCGUGGGGGAUGAAGGUCUUCGGAUUGUAAACCCCUUUCGGGAGGGAAGAUGGAAUAGGGUAACCUAUUCGGACGGUACCUCCAGAAGCAGCCACGGCUAACUUCGUGCCAGCAGCCGCGGUAAUACGAAGGUGGCAAGCGUUGUUCGGAUUUACUGGGCGUACAGGGAGCGUAGGCGGUUCGGUAAGCCCUCUGUGAAAUCUCCAGGCUUAACCUGGAACAGUCGGAGGGGACUGCUGGGCUAGAGGACGGGAGAGGAGCGCGGAAUUCCCGGUGUAGCGGUGAAAUGCGUAGAGAUCGGGAGGAAGGCCGGUGGCGAAGGCGGCGCUCUGGAACGUUUCUGACGCUGAGGCUCGAAAGCGUGGGGAGCAAACAGGAUUAGAUACCCUGGUAGUCCACGCCUUAAACUAUGAAUACUAAGUGUCGGCGGUUUACCGCCGGUGCCGCAGCUAACGCAUUAAGUAUUCCGCCUGGGAAGUACGGCCGCAAGGUUGAAACUCAAAGG